rnacentral:rRNA from 1 species
AUACGGAGGAUCCGAGCGUUAUCCGGAUUUAUUGGGUUUAAAGGGUGCGCAGGCGGGAGAUUAAGUCGGCGGUGAAAUUUUGCAGCUCAACUGUAAAAAUGCCUUCGAAACUGGUUUCCUUGAGUGUAGAUGAAGUAGGCGGAAUUUGUGGUGUAGCGGUGAAAUGCAUAGAUAUCACGAGGAACUCCGAUUGCGCAGGCAGCUUACUAAACUACUACUGACGCUCAGGCACGAAGGCGUGGGGAUCAAACAGGAUUAGAUACCCUGGUAGUCCACGCAGUAAACGAUGAUUACUAGCUGUUUGCGAUACAAUGUAAGCGGCUGAGCGAAAGCGUUAAGUAAUCCACCUGGGGAGUACGUUCGCGAGAAUGAAACUCAAAUGAAUUGACGGGG